GACGAACGCUGGCGGCGUGCUUAACACAUGCAAGUCGAACGGUAAGGCCCCUUCGGGGGUACACGAGUGGCGAACGGGUGAGUAACACUUGAGCAACCUGCCCUUGACUCUGGAAUAACAGUUGGAAACAGCUGCUAAUACUGGAUAUUCAUCGUCUCCUUCCUGGGGGGUGGUGGAAAGCUCCGGCGGUCAGGGAUGGGCUCGCGGCCUAUCAGCUUGUUGGUGAGGUAAUGGCUCACAAAGGCUUCGACGGGUAGCCGGCCUGAGAGGGCGACCGGCCACACUGGGACUGAGAUACGGCCCAGACUCCUACGGGAGGCAGCAGUGGGAAAUAUUGCACAAUGGGCGCAAGCCUGAUGCAGCAACGCCGCGUGCGGGAUGACGGCCUUCGGGUUGUAAACCGCUUUCAGUAGGGACGAAGGGUGACUGACGGUACCUACAGAAGAAGGACCGGCUAACUACGUG
rnacentral:rRNA from 1 species